rnacentral:rRNA from 1 species
GACGAACGCUGGCGGCGUGCUUAACACAUGCAAGUCGAACGGAAAGGCCCUGCUUUUGUGGGGUGCUCGAGUGGCGAACGGGUGAGUAACACGUGAGUAACCUGCCCUUGACUUUGGGAUAACUUCAGGAAACUGGGGCUCAUACCGGAUAGGAGCUCCUGCUGCAUGGUGGGGGUUGGAAAGUUUCGGCGGUUGGGGAUGGACUCGACGCUUAUCAGCUUGUUGGGGGGGUAGUGGCUUACCAAGGCUUUGACGGGUAGCCGGCAUGGGAGGGUGACCGGCCACAUGGGGACUGAGAUACGGACCAGACUCCUACGGGAGGCAGCAGUGGGGAAUAUUGCGCAAUGGGCGGAAGCCUGAUGCAGCAACGCCGCGUGCGGGAUGACGGCCUUCGGGUUGUAAACCGCUUUCGCCUGUGACGAAGCGUGAGUGACGGUAAUGGGUAAAGAAGCACCGGCUAACUACGUG